UACAGAGGCCUCGAGCGUUAGGCGGAAUCACUGGGCUUAAAGCGCGUGUAGGCGGAUCGUUAAGUGUCUUGUGAAAUCCCACGGCUCAACCGUGGAACUGCUGGGCAUACUGGCGAUCUUGGGCCACUCAGGGAGCCACGGAACAAGCGGUGGAGCGGUGAAAUGCGUAGAUAUCGCUUGGAACGCCAAAGGUGAAGACAGGUUGCUGGGGGUGUGCCGACG
rnacentral:rRNA from 1 species